UGAGACAACCUGACAACUUUUUAACAGAAGAGUUUUCUCAGGAAUGUCCUGGUCAACCAGAGAAGCUUCCCAGUGAGGAGUGAGCCAUGGGAAAAAACGAAAACUACACCCCGGUUGUGAGGAUGUGAUCCGGUCCGUUUUGUGCAGACGUGUCAAGACGAAACGUUUCAUGUCGGACUGCAUUGGCAUUGAU